SAUUCAUUAGUUUUUUAAUUGAAAGCUUGUAUGAAUGGUUUGAUGAAAAAAUAACUUUCUUUAUUUAAAGUUUUAAAAAUUUUAUUUUUAAGUUAAAAAGCUUAAAUUUUUUUAAUAGACGAGAAGACCCUAUAGAGUUUUAUUUAUUUUUUUUAUUUAAAUUUUUGGAAUUCUAUAAUUUUUAUUUAAAAAUAAAUUUGAUUGGGGUGAUUUAAAAAUUUAAUAAACUUUUUUUAUAUUUUUCCAUUAAUUUAUGAAUAUAUGAUCCAUAUAAAUGAUUAAAAGAUUAAAUUACCUUAGGGAUAACAGCGUUAUUUUUUUUUAGAGUUCUUAUCGAAAAAAAAGAUUGCGACCUCGAUGUUGGAUUAAAAUAAAUUUUAGGUGUAGAAGCUUAAA
rnacentral:rRNA from 1 species